rnacentral:rRNA from 1 species
UACGUAGGGGGCUAGCGUUGUCCGGAAUCAUUGGGCGUAAAGAGCGUGUAGGCGGCUCGGUAAGUCCGCUGUGAAAGUCCAGGGCUCAACCCUGGAAUGCCGGUGGAUACUGUCGGGCUAGAGUCCGGAAGGGGCGAGUGGAAUUCCUGGUGUAGCGGUGAAAUGCGCAGAUAUCAGGAGGAACACCGGUGGCGAAGGCGGAUCUCUGGGCCGAUACUGACGCUGAGGAGCGAAAGCGUGGGGAGCGAACAGG